rnacentral:rRNA from 1 species
CCUACGGGAGACAGCAGUGAGGAAUAUUGGUCAAUGGACGAGAGUCUGAACCAGCCAAGUAGCGUGAAGGAUGACUGCCCUAUGGGUUGUAAACUUCUUUUAUAUGGGAAUAAAAUGUUCCACGUGUGGGAUUUUGUAUGUACCAUAUGAAUAAGGAUCGGCUAACUCCGUACCAGCAGCCGCGGUAAUACGGAGGAUCCGAGCGUUAUCCGGAUUUAUUGGGUUUAAAGGGAGCGUAGGUGGAUUGUUAAGUCAGUUGUGAAAGUUUGCGGCUCAACCGUAAAAUUGCAGUUGAAACUGGCAGUCUUGAGUACAGUAGAGGUGGGCGGAAUUCGUGGUGUAGCGGUGAAAUGCUUAGAUAUCACGAAGAACUCCGAUUGCGAAGGCAGUUCACUAGACUGCAACUGACACUGAGGCUCGAAAGUGUGGGUAUCAAACAGGAUUAGAUACCCCAGUAGUC